rnacentral:rRNA from 1 species
UACGUAGGGGGCGAGCGUUGUCCGGAAUCAUUGGGCGUAAAGAGCUCGUAGGCGGUUCAGUAAGUCAGGUGUGAAAGCUCCGAGCUCAACUUGGAGAGGCCACCUGAUACUGCUGUGACUAGAAUCCAGUAGGGGAGUGUGGAACUCCUGGUGUAGCGGUGAAAUGCGCAGAUAUCAGGAGGAACACCGGUGGCGAAGGCGGCUAUCUGGACAGAGUCUGACGCUGAGGCGCGAAAGCUAGGGGAGCAAACAGG